AGCUCAAUGGUAGAGCGGAAUACUGUUAAUAUUAUGAUAGAUGUUCAAUUCAUCUUA
rnacentral:tRNA from 1 species